GUGGUGCUCUUUGCCCAAAUACCGGGUAGAGAUUGUCCUGAUAUCCAGGGCCUGACUUCCUGAAUAGCCUGUGCCUAUUGAUGGUUACUGAACUUCAGCCAUAAAUCCCCAAGUCUCAGCUCAUAACCAUCAGCAAGCAAGCACGUGGGCUCAUCAGGACUCCUUUAUGAAACUGGGUCAGAGGAAUGGAUUGUAUGAGGUCAGGAACAAAGAGUUCUCCUGCCUUCCCUCUUGCAGAGGUGUCCCCUCCACCCGUGGGAGGUUGGAUCCUUUUCUCUUAUAGCUGUAGGCAGAGGUGGGGUAAAGAAGGCUGCCCAGCAAUCCACACCCAUGGAAUAAAAGGAUCAUGGAUAUAGACAGCCUUAGACACAGGGACACAGGUUUAGGGUUGAGGACACCCCCAAGUGGCACACGUGCACACGGGAGUCAUAUGGUUGCCCAUACGCACCGCAUGAGGUAUAUUCUAGCCAACUUGAUAGGUUUUAGAAUCACCAUGGAAACAAACUUACAAGCAUGUCUGUGAUAGGUUUUCCAGAUUAGCAGUCGAAAUGGGGAGACUCAUCCUAAGUGUGGGUGGCACCAGUUCAUAACCUGGAGGUCUUCGGUUGGAUAAAAUGGAGAAAGCCAGCCCAGCGCCAGUGUUCAUCUCUCUCUGCUUCCCAGCUACAGACGCAAUGGAACCAGAUGCUUCAACCACUUCAUCUAUGCUACCCUACCGUAGUGGACUGUACCUUCAAACCGUUAGCCAAAAUAAAUGUUUCCUUCCUU
rnacentral:lncRNA from 1 species